rnacentral:snoRNA from 12 species
UGAGCCCAAGGAAGGGAUGAUGUUCCAAAUGAGACCCAAGAAAAGGAUUCUGAGCCUCAGAGCUUUGAAAUAGCUACUUGGUCCCUGACCUUCCUUGAGGCAAA